UUUGAUCUCAAAUCAGGUAGGACUACCCGCUGAACUUAAGCAUAUCAAUAAGCGGAGGAAAAGAAACUAACAAGGAUUCCCCUAGUAACUGCGAGUGAAGCGGGAAGAGCUCAAAUUUAAAAUCNUGGCGUGCCUCUGGUCGUCCGAGUUGUANUCUGGAGAAGCGUNUUCCGUGUUGGACCGUGUAUAAGUCUCUUGGAACAGGGCGUCAUAGAGGGUGAGAAUCCCGUCUAUGACACGGACUACCMAUGCUUDGUGAUGCGCUCUC
rnacentral:rRNA from 1 species